rnacentral:rRNA from 1 species
GCGAAAGCUCCUUCGGGAGUGAGUAGAGUGGCGAACGGGUGAGUAAUACGUAGGAAUCUACCCAAGAGUGGGGGAUAACCCGGGGAAACUCGGGCUAAUACCGCAUACGCCCUACGGGGUAAAGCGGGGGACCUUCGGGCCUCGCGCUUUUGGAUGAGCCUACGCCGGAUUAGCUUGUUGGUAGGGUAACGGCCUACCAAGGCGACGAUCCGUAGCUGGUCUGAGAGGAUGAUCAGCCACACUGGGACUGAGACACGGCCCAGACUCCUACGGGAGGCAGCAGUGGGGAAUAUUGGACAAUGGGGGAAACCCUGAUCCAGCCAUGCCGCGUGUGUGAAGAAGGCCUUCGGGUUGUAAAGCACUUUCAGAAGGGAAGAAAAGCCUGGGGCCAAUACCCCCGGGUCUUGACGGUACCUUCAGAAGAAGCACCGGCUAACUCCGUGCCAGCAGCCGCGGUAAUACGGAGGGUGCAAGCGUUAAUCGGAAUUACUGGGCGUAAAGCGCGCGUAGGUGGUUUGGUAAGUCGGGUGUGAAAGCCCUGGGCUCAACCUGGGAAUUGCAUUCGAUACUGCCUGACUAGAGUGUGGUAGAGGGAAGUGGAAUUCCGCAUGCAGCGGUGAAAUGCGUAGAGAUGCGGAGGAACACCAAUGGCGAAGGCAACUUCCUGGACCAACACUGACACUGAGGUGCGAAAGCGUGGG